rnacentral:lncRNA from 1 species
GUAAGAUGUACCAUGCCGGUCUUUAAAAUGCCACUUUCAACGGGACACAAAGGAGCCCUUGGCCCCUGUGACAGCUGGGCUCUUAUUUCCAGGGGCACAACUUGUGCUUCUGCUCAUGGGCUACUUACCAACCUGAGGGUGCCAGCUGAGAGCAUGCGCUGGGAAAACCUCCAAAGGUCUGGAUUGAAGAGAAGAGAUGUAAUGCCCAUACAUGGGGGUAAAAAAGCAUGA